rnacentral:rRNA from 1 species
UGGGGAAUAUUGCACAAUGGGCGCAAGCCUGAUGCAGCGACGCCGCGUGAGGGAUGACGGCCUUCGGGUUGUAAACCUCUUUCGCUAGGGAAGAAGCCACUUAUGUGGUGACGGUACCUGGAUAAGAAGCACCGGCUAACUACGUGCCAGCAGCCGCGGUAAUACGUAGGGUGCAAGCGUUGUCCGGAAUUACUGGGCGUAAAGAGCUCGUAGGUGGUUUGUCGCGUCGUCUGUGAAAGCCCGGGGCUUAACUCCGGGUCUGCAGGCGAUACGGGCAUAACUAGAGUGCUGUAGGGGAGACUGGAAUUCCUGGUGUAGCGGUGAAAUGCGCAGAUAUCAGGAGGAACACCGAUGGCGAAGGCAGGUCUCUGGGCAGUAACUGACGCUGAGGAGCGAAAGCAUGGGGAGCGAACAGG